CCUACGGGUGGCAGCAGUGAGGAAUAUUGGUCAAUGGGAGAGAUCCUGAACCAGCCAAGUCGCGUGAGGGAAGACGGCCCUAUGGGUUGUAAACCUCUUUUGUCGGAGAACAAAACCCGGGACGUGUCCCGUACUGCGUGUAUCCGAAGAAAAAGCAUCGGCUAACUCCGUGCCAGCAGCCGCGGUAAUACGGAGGAUGCGAGCGUUAUCCGGAUUUAUUGGGUUUAAAGGGUGCGUAGGCGGUCCGUUAAGUCAGCGGUAAAAUUUUGGGGCUCAACCCCGUCGAGCCGUUGAAACUGGCAGUCUUGAGUUGGCGAGAAGUACGCGGAAUGCGCGGUGUAGCGGUGAAAUGCAUAGAUAUCGCGCAGAACUCCGAUUGCGAAGGCAGCGUACCGGCGCCAGACUGACGCUGAGGCACGAAAGCGUGGGGAUCGAACAGGAUUAGAUACCCGGGUAGUC
rnacentral:rRNA from 1 species